GCUAGACUUGUAUUUGAAAGGCAUAAAGAAUUUUGCUUGGUUUCUGUAAUUCAUGGGGGUUCCAAUGGGCUAUCCUGAUAGGAAGCCAGCUGAUUUAAGGAAUCCUAAUAGGCAUUUUCUUAAUUUUAUCCAACAUUUCAGUACUGCCUCAACCACUCAACCAAGCUCUCAUGUUGACUUUCAGCCAUUGUGACAAGGCACCAUCAAUCAUCAUGUCCCUUUACCAGGAGGGUCCAUGUCAUAAGCCACUAUAUAAAGGAAAUGAUGGGUGGACUGCUUUGGACAAAUGGAUUUAGGGUAGGAGAGAGGGACAACAGUGGGAGCAGGCAGAUAUUGCUAUUUCAACAAAAACCUCGUGCUGACCAGAGCUGAGGAACAGAAGAUGAUGAAGGCCUGCAGAUGUAGGUGUUCAGCAUGUCAUCUGAAAUAUUCCCCACAGACGCAAAAAGCAAGGAAAUUAUCUCUGAAAAGGAAUGAGAAGACAAGUCAGCAGAAUAUGUCAAUGUUUUGGUUGAAGAAGCUGCUUGAAUCUGGGCUUUUCUGAGCCAUGUGUUCUCCCACAACCAGCACAAAGAAAGGCUUUUGGUACAGGCCCAAGACCACCAUAAUCAUCAUUGAUUAUUCCUCUCCACCCCAGUGUCUCUAAAUAAAAUUUCUCUUCUUUCGCUGA